rnacentral:rRNA from 1 species
UACAGAGGGGGCAAGCGUUGUUCGGAAUUACUGGGCGUAAAGGGCGCGUAGGCGGCCUUCUAAGUCGAACGUGAAAUCCCCGGGCUCAACCCGGGAACUGCGUCCGAUACUGGAAGGCUUGAAUCCGGGAGAGGGAUGUGGAAUUCCAGGUGUAGCGGUGAAAUGCGUAGAUAUCUGGAGGAACACCGGUGGCGAAGGCGACAUCCUGGACCGACACUGACACUGAGGAGCGAAAGCCAGGGGAGCAAACGGG